rnacentral:rRNA from 1 species
UGUCCCCCUUUUAUUAUUUAGGGUCUGCCCUGCUCACUGAGUUUUAAAGAGCCGCUUAAGUGUUAAAGUAGCAUAAUCAAUUGUCUUCUUAUUAAGGUCUGGAAUGAAUGGGAGGAUUAUUAAUAAAUUUUUAAUCUUAAAGAAUAAAAAUUUAAAUUUUGAUUUAAAAUGUUCAAAUUUUUCAAAGGGACGAGAAGACCCUAGGAUCUUUACAACUUUUUGUUUGUUUAAUUGGGGAAAUUAGAAAAAUAAACUUUUCUAUCUUUCAUUCACUCUAAGUGUUUUAUUUAAGAUCAAAAUAAGUUAAAAUAAAAUUACCCUAGGGAUAACAGCGCUAUAACAAGUUAGAUGACCAAAAUUUAACUUGUGAUUGCGACCUCGAUGUUGAAUUAAAGUUAAAAGCCCGGUAGCUUGGGCUUUAUUUUAGUCUGUUCGACUAUUAACUCU